rfam:Amborella trichopoda AMTR_V1.0_contig_40665, whole genome shotgun sequence.
GCGAGCCGUAUGCGGUGAGAGUCGCACGUACGGUUACGAAGGGGGUUCACGUCUAUACGUUACGUGUGGUGGUUGGGCCUACCCUAU